rnacentral:ncRNA from 1 species
CAGUUAUCAAGAAAGGUGGAGGGAAUAGACCCUUUGAAACCUUAGCAACCCUUUGUUUCUUAUACAGAGAAGGUGCUACAUUCUAUCCUGAAAUAAUUAUUAGGACAGAUAACGA